rnacentral:rRNA from 1 species
GUUCCUGGCUCAGAACGAACGCUGGCGGCAGGCUUAACACAUGCAAGUUGAACGGGAUUUGUGUGGUGCUUGCACCAUAUAAUGAGAGUAGCGCACUGGUGAGUAACACGUGGGAACGUACCUUUUGGUGGGGGACAACAUCUGGAAACGGAUGCUAAUACCGCAUAAGACCUGAGGGUGAAAGAUUUAUCGCCGAAAGAACGGCCCGCGGAAGAUUAGGCAGUUGGUGGGGUAAAGGCCUACCAAACCUACGAUCUA